rnacentral:lncRNA from 1 species
AGAAACAGGGGAGAAAGAAAGAAAAAAAGGGAAAACUAGGGAUUUGAAGCUUGAAGUUCAAUAGGUAAGUUAAAUCAAGUCAUAUUCUCAUAAAUUUGAUGUUAUUGGAAUCCUAGAGUGAAAUACUCUUGGAUUUAAGUUGAAAAUUUGAAAGUUAAUAGAUUUUUUAGUAGGAUUUAUGUUGAAUAAAUGAUGGAAUUGAAGGUUUAUUUGAUAGAGUUUCUAGCUAGAUUUGCUAAAAGGAUUAAAUUGUGAACUAAACUAUAAGUUUUGAAUUGUAGGGAUUAAAUUGAGGAAAAUUCGAAAUUAGUGAAAUAUGGUGAAAAAUUUAUAGUUAAAUUUGAGUUUGGAUGAAAUUUAAAUAGAAAUAGAGUGUGAAUUGAAUUAGGAAAGUAAGUGAAUUUAGUUAGGAUUAAAUUAAGAAUAAGAAAGAAAUUGAAUAGAAAUUCAAUUAUUUGUCAUAAUUAGUGCUGUAAUUAAUAGUAUAAAUUAUUAUUAUUUUCAUAGCUAACAAAGAGCCCAAGGCAUCGGCACGAAAAGGAAAAGAGAAGAUUAUCGAGGAGUAAACGCAAGAAAAUCACGGUUUGUAUUACUAUAAUUCAAGUUAUUUAUUAUUAAAUGUUAGAUUUUAAUUUAUGAAGUUGGUAAAUGGAAUGUGAGGUAAGUAGUAUUAUUAUUAUUAUUAUUAUUAUUAUUAUUAUUAUUAUUAUUAUUAUUAUUAUUAUUAUUAUUAUUAUUAUUAUUAUUAGUGUGAAUUAAAUUGAAUAAUUGAUAUGAAUUAAUAUUUGAAUUGCUUGUUUAUUGAAAGCGGAAAGUGAAAUUGAAUCGAAUUCUGACUGAUAUUAAAUUGAAUGGAAAUGUAUUGAGUUGUGAAAAUGUGUGAAUUUGUAAAUUAAUUAUCGAAUGAAAGGUGGAAAAAUGAUUGAAUUGAAAAUGAGAGAAAUUGUGAUUUAAAUACCCUAUUAACUAGUCGGGCUGAGUCGGAUAUAAUUGACAUGCCAUAGGAUUUGGAAGAGUACGGGGUUUAUCGGCUUUGCCGACCAGGCACUUUAUGUGUCGUAUCUCAGGCACUUUAUGUGUCGUAUCAGGCACCUCGUGUGUCGUUUCAGGCACUUAUGUGUCGUAUACUGAUCUGGUACUAUGUACCGUUUUAGGCACAAUGUGUCGUACUGGUGUGUUUGGGUUGGAAUCCGUGUAUCCGUCAAUGUCCAAAUUGUUAAUAGGGUGAAUAAUUAAAAUGCAAAAAUUUAAAAAUUGUGGAUUGAUGUUGAGAUUGAAAAUGAAAGGCAUGACUUUAAUGUCUAUGUAGUGAUUGAAAUUAUUACGUGUGAUAUGUGAUUGAAAUUGAAUAACAGCUAAAAAUUGUAUUGUUAUUGUUAAUUAAUGAAAGUUUAUAAAUUAAUUGAUAUUUAAGAAAUCGAAUAGUUACAUGCUUGGUACUUAUAAUUCUUUAUUUCUAUUAUAAUUUGAAUUAUGGUAAUACCACUGAGUAUGCAAUACUCAGCGUACGGUUGUUUCCGUGCGCAGGUCGAUAGAAGCCAAAGGUCCCGGUUCAGCAUCCAGAUCAAUCCCGACUUCAGCAUAAUUUUGGUGAUGUAUAUUUUCUUUUGGUAAUGUGGCAUGUACAUAUGUUGUGUAUAAAAGUUUAGGUGAUAAAUUAUACAUGGAAAUCAUGAAAGGGUAAAAUUUUACAAAGAAACAGAAUUCAGGCAGCACAGUGACGUGACUUUGAAAAAUCACCUAGGAUAGUAUAUAAUGAUUUAUAAGGCGAAUGAUAUAUGGAAUGAAAGCUUGUUGAGUCUAUUUUCAUGGAAAAAUGACGUUUUAGAGAAAGGAAAUUUAUAUUUUAAGAUAUGUGAAUUUUAGUGAGACAGGG